AAUAAAUGCCAAUGACAUGCACGAGUAUCUGCAUGACUUGAUUCAAAAGUAAAAAUAUGACGGUUUUGUAUAACUUUUCGAAGCAUAUCGUCUUUUGUGCAGGCUAAUCAACCUUUUGCGUGUGAAGGUCGUUUUUGUCCUUCGAUAAAUAACCCAACAGAUUUUGUAGAAUUUGGGAAAUGAAAAUAUCAAGACGAAUGAGGCAAAACAUCUUGCAAGUCAUGUAAGGAAAGAAAAUAUAAUAUUCAAAGUGGAAAAUCAAAAUGCAAUGUUUGUCCAGUUGGUCACUCUUGUCUUUGGAAAAAUAAAUUAGCUUUAAAGUGUCGUAAAGGUCAUUAUUAAGAACAAAAAGGAAAAACAUUUUGCCGAGUUGGUUCUAAUGACGCUACUACAUGACUGGUAUAAAAAUCUCAAGCUCUUGAAACAAAGCUAUUCUGGUUAUGAAAAUUGCCAAAUACACAUUUGAUUCUUUCAGUCUCAUAGUGCACUGAGAGGGGCAACGCUUUAAAAAGUAAGCGCUUUGUCUGACGAACAUACCCCUUCUAGAGUUUGGUGACGAGUCAUUCACUUGGUGGAACAAUUGCGAAUUUGGCAGCAGUCGAUUUGAAAGAGGCAGGAUAUUCUGUCGAUUUGAUAACCUUUGGCCAGUUAUUAAUAACCCAGUGUUGAUAACCAUGAAUUUAAAAAACACGUCAAGGAUCUUUUGGAGGGAUGCAAUCUCAGAGUGACGUAUAAGGAUACAUUCUUACAGUCAUUCUCCCUAAUAUGAAUUAUCUACAUGUCGGCCAAGAAAUUUUUUGUGUUGGUAAAGACAAAUAAGACAAAUGCCACGAAUCUCGCGCUAACCAAGACGAAACACUAACACAUGUCAAACUAACACAUGUCAGACGAAAUAUUGCCAACCAUUUUAUAAAAAAUUAUCUUACAACAUAAGAAAAUGAAGAAUAAAUUAAUGUAGUAGGUGUAUGAAAAUUGUGUUAUGAUACAUUUUAAUUGCGUCAUAAGGGUUAGUUACAAGUCUAUGUGACGUAGUAUGCACAUGAUAUAGUAUAAACAAGUCAUCGGACAAAGGGCUUGUGAUAGUGUGAUUAGGUUGAACUGGUAACAUGUUGUCAUGUUAUUAUUAAAUAAAUGUAUAAAAUGCAAUGUAGUCACGCUUUUUAAAUAAAACCUGAUGGAAAUUGUUAUAGAAGGAGCUGAAAAAUAUUGGUCGUUGACAGUGAGUCGUAAUGGUGUAUGGUGAACACAAAAAAAGAUAGUUGAAGUGUUUUCGGAGUAUCUUCAUAGUGUGUUGGUGAACCACGUUGUGGCAUUUCAUUCGUUUUACAGAAGAUCCUUUAGCAUUACAGGGGUUUUGGGACCUGAGUCAAGGGGGAAGAACGGUCAUCAAAUGUCAGUUCAAUGGUCCUGACUGAAAAACGCGACACGACAAACCACUUCUGGCCAAUGAGACGCGAGAAAUGGCAAGAUUGAAAUUGAUGUUUACCAAUAAACAUUGACAAAAUGGUCGUCGAUAAAAAAAUUGUCUUACGUGCAGCCACCACUUUUGCUUGAUAAUUUUAUCGCACGUAGCUCCAGCAUUAGCAGAAAAUAAAAUAUAACGACCAUGUAACGACUGGCGUUAAAUAUUUGUUGCCGACAAAAUGAUGCAACUUGGAACAUAAGAAAACUUUUGUAAACCGAUUAUGUACAUUAUUUUCAUCAUAAGUGAAAGACCACAACCGGUUAAAGUCUCACCUAGUGCUUCAGGCGGCAAUGAAUACAUUUGGAUCAUCAUUCAUUUAAGAAAUAAAAGAUGUUUACUGUA